ACUCAAAGGAAUAGACGGGGGCCCGCACAAGCGGUGGAGCAUGUGGUUUAAUUCGACGCAACGCGAAGAACCUUACCAGGGCUUGACAUCCCUUGACUGCUGUAGAGAUACAGAGUUCAGCUUGCUGACAAGGAGACAGGUGGUGCAUGGCUGUCGUCAGCUCGUGUCGUGAGAUGUUGGGUUAAGUCCCGCAACGAGCGCAACCCUUAUCCUUAGUUGCCAGCACUUCGGGUGGGCACUCUAAGGAGACUGCCACGGACAACGUGGAGGAAGGUGGGGAUGACGUCAAGUCAUCAUGCCCUUUAUGUCCUGGGCUACACACGUGCUACAAUGGUCCGUACAGAGGGAAGCGAAGCCGCGAGGUGAAGCCAAUCCCAGAAAACGGACCCAAGUUCGGAUUGGAGUCUGCAACUCGACUCCAUGAAGUCGGAAUCGCUAGUAACCGCAGAUCAGCAUGCUGCGGUGAAUACGUUCCCGGGCCUUGUACACACCGCCCGU
rnacentral:rRNA from 1 species